UCCCGGAUUUAAUAGAAGGGGUCCAGCCUGCCCAGUGACAAGUUCAACGGCCGCGGUACCCUGACCGUGCGAAGGUAGCAUAAUCACUUGUUCUUUAAAUAAGGACUAGUAUCAACGGCACUACGAGGACUACACUGUCUCCCUUUUCUAAUCAAUGAAACUAACCUCCCCGUGAAGAGGCGGGGAUAAAACUAUAAGACGAGAAGACCCCAUGGAGCUUUAAAUUCAACAGGUAACCCUGCAUAACACACCAACAAAGCCUUCCAAUCCUACCUGUUAAUUUUAGGUUGGGGUGACCGCGGAGUAUAUCUUAACCUCCAUAACGAACAAGACAUCAUCCUUUAUCCAAGAGCUACAACUCUAAGAAUCAAUAAAUUGACGUCCAAUGACCCGACAUUCGAUUAAUGAAACAAGUUACCCUGGGGAUAACAGCGCAAUCUACUUUUAGAGCCCAUAUCGACAAGUAGGCUUACGACCUCGAUGUUGGAUCAGGAUAUCCAGGUGGUGCAGCCGCUACUAAAGGUUCGUUUGUUCAACGAUUAAAAUCCUACGUGAUCUGAGUUCAGACGGG
rnacentral:rRNA from 1 species